GUUGAUGACAUAGGAGGAGUUGACACAUGUCCAUGAUGGCACCUUGACGACCAUUUCAUUUGGCCUUGACAGCUAUACGGACACAAGUAACGCGAGUUCAGUGCCGCGUGAUUCAAGCCUUGGUAGUGCAUUCAAAGACAAGGGAAAGGUAAUUGAAUGCAAACAUGAUUGGAUUAAGAGUUAAAAUAACUUAUAAUGAUUAUACAUGUCUACAUAGAUAAAUAGUUUCUCAUACUUGUCGUCUUUAUGUACAAAAAAUUGUUGGCUUCACAUCCUUGUUGACUGCACCCACUAUACCUAAAGAAGAAGAAGAGAUGCCUCAGGUUGUGUAUGAAAAUCUUGAUGACAUACCUCCUCUAGCGAAGACAUAUGUCAAGACUCCUCCAAAGAUGAAGAGGAAACGUGGAGAUGAGGAUCCUUAUAGAGUAGUAGUGCGGCGAAGAGGAUCAAUUUCGAUGAUCCAUCAGUAGUUUAGGAUAUUAUAGAUCAUUUUGGGAUACUUACAUGUCUAGUUGGCAUGUAUAUUUUGUAUAUGGACAC